GAUGAACGCUGGCGGCGUGCCUGAUACAUGCAAGUCGAACGCAUCCCGUUAAAUGAAGUGCUUGCACGGAUUUUAACAUUGGAUGAGUGGCGAACUGAUGAGUAACACGUGGGUAACCUGCCCAGAAGCAGGGGAUAACACUUGGAAACAGGUGCUAAUACCGUAUAACAACAAAAACCGCAUGGCUUUUGUUUGAAAGGUGGUUUCGGCUAUCACUUCUGGAUGGACCCGCGGCGUAUUAGCUAGUUGGUGGAGUAAUGGUUCACCAAGGCAAUGAUACGUAGCCGACCUGAGAGGGUAAUCGGCCACAUUGGGACUGAGACACGGCCCAAACUCCUACGGGAGGCAGCAGUAGGGAAUCUUCCACAAUGGACGAAAGUCUGAUGGAGCAACGCCGCGUGAGUGAAGAAGGGUUUCGGCUCGUAAAACUCUGUUGUUAAAGAAGAACGUAUCUAAGAGUAACUGCUUAGGUAGUGACGGUAUUUAACCAGAAAGCCACGGCUAACUACGUGCCAGCCGCCGCCGUAA
rnacentral:rRNA from 1 species